AUGAUGUGCUCUCAAUAACCCUGACAUCCCUGUGGCAGUUGGCACUGUCAUUCUGACGUCACAGAAGGGACUGGGAUGGACAGCCGGUGUUAGUCCAGGUGGCCUGGGUCCCUAACCCAGCCAGGCCGCCCUGCCCUGAUGUUUUCCAAGGAACAAAACGUUUGGUGCUCAGCAGCGCCUCCCUGCCAUCCAACCUCAGCACCACAGCCUGGCCCUCCAGGUUCAGCUGCAAGCCUGCAGAGUUUGCCAUCCCUGCCCCACUGUGGACACUGCAGGGAACAACCCGGCCAGGCCUUGACUCCCAGAGAGACAGCUGUCCCACGUCACAUGCGGGACUGAACACUCCUGGUGCCCGGCAUCCCCACAAAUGGGCUACGGACUACCGAAGGGGGCAACUACAGCAGCUGGCGAGUGUCCCCCAGUCUAUGUCCACACUGAACCUCAGAAUGUGACCUUAUUUGAAAUCAGGGUUUGUUUGUUCUGUUUUGUUUUGGUACUGGGGAUCAAACUCGGGACCCUGCACUUGUGAGGC
rnacentral:lncRNA from 1 species